GGCCUCCCCGCGUUCCCCGGGCCCUGAGGCACGGCACGGCACGGCACGGCACGGCACCUGGGGCCGCCGCUCGCCACGGGCCGCCCCGGGGCUGCGGGCACCGCGCCGGCCUCCCCAGUGCCGCAGCGGGCCCGAGCUGGGGGUGCUGCUCUCCGUAAUGGAGGCGCCGGAGCUUUCCGCCCGGACAUUUAAAUAUUGUGCAGAGAGACAACAAAAGAACAUCCAGUAAUAAAACCUGCCCUGGUGCUGACUGUUGUCCAAGCGCAACCUGCUCAAACGCCAUGCCGCUUUGUCAUGGCUGAAACAAAAGUCCACCCUGUUCCUGCUAAAAAAAGACGUUACAAUGAGCUACUUGUGCGGUAUCAACUUAUAGCAGGGGAAAUGAGUAAUAAUUCCUUUUGUCAAAGCUGCAGAGAGAUUAGUUCAGUAAUGCACAAACAUGCAGCUGGAGCCAUGCCAGGGCACAAGGAUUAAAAGCGACCAAACUCUUAACUCUAGUGAAAAAUAUGCAUGGCAAAUUAUUAAAACAAAUGUUUGGUUCUACAAAUACAGGUACAAGGUGAGAACUUGCCCUCUCUGAAAGCACUGCACUCCCCCCAGACUGGAGAAGCAUCUCCCCUUUUUCGCCUCCCUGCUCUUCCUUCCCUGAUCACCUGGAUUCUGGCUGCUUGAAAGAGGUAAAAAAAUAAGACUGGAGAGGAAUUUUGCUCCUGUGCUGCCUCUAAGACAUGGGUUCCCGAACAACUCUCUCCCAGCUUACAAACCUCCCAUGUGUACCACCAUGAGAGACAGGUUUCUCGGCACCUCCUGAGCAGCGAGAAGGGGAGGUUGUGCUACAAUCGGCGACUGAAAAAAGAAGGCUGAAUCUUCUGCAGUGCCUGAAAAAAAACAAAAUCUCUCAACGCAGCCAUUUGUAAGACAGUGUUUCUUUAUUGCCUGUACUCUGCUUGCACACUAAGAAAACAUGCUUAAGGCUGUACAUAAAAAAAACAACACGUGGUAGUUCUUGCUGUUGCAAUAUGACAGCGCUGAUAAAGGCAAUACAUAGACCAGCCCAAA